UAGGGAAUCUUCCGCAAUGGACGCAAGUCUGACGGAGCAACGCCGCGUGAGUGAAGAAGGAUUUCGGUUCGUAAAACUCUGUUGUUAGAGAAGAACAGCGCAUAGAGUAACUGUUAUGCGUGUGACGGUAUCUAACCAGAAAGCCACGGCUAACUACGUGCCAGCAGCCGCGGUAAUACGUAGGUGGCAAGCGUUGUCCGGAUUUAUUGGGCGUAAAGCGAGCGCAGGCGGUCAAUUAAGUCUGAUGUGAAAGCCCCCGGCUCAACCGGGGAGGGUCAUUGGAAACUGGUUGACUUGAGUGCAGAAGGGGAGAGUGGAAUUCCAUGUGUAGCGGUGAAAUGCGUAGAUAUAUGGAGGAACACCGGUGGCGAAAGCGGCUCUCUGGUCUGUAACUGACGCUGAGGCUCGAAAGCGUGGGUAGCAAACAGG
rnacentral:rRNA from 1 species